GUGUCAGCAGCCGCGGUAACACGUAGGGGACGAGCGUUGUCCGGAUUCAUUGGGCGUAAAGCGCGCGUAGGCGGCCCGGAAAGUCGGAUGUGAAAACCUGGGGCUCAACCCCAGGCGUGCACCCGAUACUCCCGGGCUGGAGGCAGGUAGGGGAGAUCGGAAUUCCUGGUGUAGCGGUGAAAUGCGCAGAUAUCAGGAGGAACACCGGUGGCGAAGGCGGAUCUCUGGGCCUUGCCUGACGCUGAGGCGCGAAAGCUAGGGGAGCGAACAGGAUUAGAUACCCCGGUAGUCC
rnacentral:rRNA from 1 species